CUAGGUAGCUCAGUUGGUAGAGCAACGGACUGAAAAUCCGUGUGUCGCCGGUUCGAUCCCGGCCCUGGC
rnacentral:tRNA from 2 species